GGAAGUAUGGUUGCAAAGCUGACACUUAAAGGAAUUGACGGAAGGGCACCACCAGGAGUGGAGCUUGCGGCUUAAUUUGACUCAACACGGGAAAGCUCACCCGGCCCGGACACUGUAAGGAUUGACAGAUUGAUAGCUCUUUCUUGAUUCGGUGGUUGGUGGUGCAUGGCCGUUCUUAGUUGGUGGAGCGAUUUGUCUGGUUUAUUCCGAUAACGAACGAGACUCCGGCCUACUAAAUAGUGGCGGGAUCCGAGCUGUCCCGUUUACUUCUUAGAGGGAUAAUCGGUGUUCAGCCGAAUGAAAAGGAGCAAUAACAGGUCUGUGAUGCCCUUAGAUGUUCGGGGCUGCACGCGCGCUACACUGGAGGAAUCAGCGUGCCUAACCCUUUGCCGAAAGGCAUGGGUAAACCCUUGAAAAUCCUCCGUGACCGGGAUCGGGAAUUGCAAUUAUUUCCCUUGAACGAGGAAUUCCCAGUAAGUGUGGGUCAUAGGCUCGCGCUGAUUACGUCCCUGCCCUUUGUACACACCGCCCGUCGCUGCCCGGGACUGAGCCGUUUCGAGAAAAGCAGGGACCGCGGCUGGCCGACGUUUCGGCGUUGGCCUUCUGUGGAGACCGCC
rnacentral:rRNA from 1 species